ensembl:lncRNA
CUGAGUUUGACAUGGCCUCCCUCUCUCUCUGCUGUUAUGCCUGGGACAUUACCAUUCAGAAGGGACGUCCGUAUAUGGCCGGGAUUGGAAACACUAAAAAUAGUCCCUGGGAGACACAAAUCCAGUCAAGGUUUACCUCUGAAAAACCAAAGGACUUACCAUUGUGAAAACAUCUGCAACGGUCGCCAGGCUCCCCUGCCUCAACCCAUCUGUCAGGUUCCCGCGCCCCAGCUGACUCGACAGGUUCCCGU